rnacentral:rRNA from 1 species
UACCCUUGACAUACAGUGGAGCUUGCAGAGAUGUGAGUGUGCCUUCGGGAACACUGAUAC